GCUCAUUCAAUUGCUUGACCAACCACUCAAUUAGACGAUCAUCGCAACCUGUAAUUAGAAAAUCGUCUACGUAAACGACAAACACGCAACGUAGAGGAUUUUCGGCAUCGAAGUAGACACACGGAUCAACUUUGCUCCUUACGAAACCGAGCGAAAAUGCUGAAUACCAAACGUCUUUGAUCUCCAUCGCCUUUAACUCUUCAUCUAUCGCUACACGCCAAAAUUUCGACUCAGGACCGUUUAACGCUUCUUCAUACGUAAGGUCAUCGACCCCAGCGAGUGCAAAGCAAGCAAAAUCGUCGCUACGUUCAUCCGAAGAUGAUGUAUCGAUUAAACUACGAUCUACUAAAUUAUCACCGCUACGUUCGGCUUCAGUCAGCUCAUCUGGGUUUAUCCAAUUGGAGCAACCAGGAGCUGAAUCAACGUUACUUACUGGUGUAACCGUAGGUACGAUAUUCACAUCGCUUACACUCACUGAUACCGAUGUUUUUAACAAAUGAUCGUUAAUAACAUCGUGUAUCUUACGCGUUUCGUCUACUUCUACGCAACUCGAAUUCGUAAAUUUAUUUCGUAAAACAUCGUACAAUACAUAACCUGUCUCUGUAAAACCGAGUAAAACCAUAUCGAUCGACUU